rnacentral:lncRNA from 1 species
GGAGACUGAGUAUUUUGUCCGAGUCUGGAGAGAAACAGGUUGCUUGUUUCCAAUGUGAACCUACUGGAGAGCUGGUUUUUGAACUGAUAUCUCAUUCACCUUCCCACUUACCAAUGAUAAGGACCUAUAAAACAUUAGGUUCUACUUCACUCUCUCUUCAAGACUUUCUGGUCCCACUCUCUAAAUUAGAUGCAGAAAAAUGGUUGGAGGUAGUGCCAAGUUCUGGAACUGUGAACUCAAAACCAAUCUACCUUCGUGUUGCCGUGUCAUUUACUAUUCCAGCCUUGGCUCAACGCACAUUCAACAUGGUUCGUUCUCGACCAUUGUCCAAAAGUUCUUGCUUUUUACCACUUCCUGGGAAGGUAGUAGAUGCCAAGAAUUUGAC